UACGGGGGGAGCAAGCGUUGUUCGGAUUUACUGGGCGUAAAGGGCGCGUAGGCGGUCGUGACAAGUCACUUGUGAAAUCUCCGGGCUUAACUCGGAACGGUCAAGUGAUACUGUCGGACUAGAGUACAGAAGGGGCAACUGGAAUUCUCGGUGUAGCGGUGAAAUUCGUAGAUAUUCGCAAGAACACCAGUGGCGAAGGCGGCUCACUGGUCCGGUACUGGACGCUGAGGCACGGAAAGCGUGGGGAGCAAACAGG
rnacentral:rRNA from 1 species